rnacentral:rRNA from 1 species
GAUGAACGCUCGCGGGAGGCCUAACACAUGCAAGCCGAGCGGUAUGGGUAGCUUGCUACCCCGAGAGCGGCGUACGGGUGCGUAACACGUGUGCAACCUGCCCCUAUCCGGGGGAUAGCCCUCCGAAAGGAGGAUUAAUACCCCAUAAUAUAUCUGGUGGCAUCCCUAGAUAUUGAAAACCCCGGUGGAUAGGGAUGGGCACGCGCAAGAUUAGAUAGUUGGCGGGGUAACGGCCCACCAAGUCGAUGAUCUUUAGGGGUCCUGAGAGGGAGAUCCCCCACACUUGUACUGCGACACGGACCAGACUCCUACGGGAGGCAGCAGUGAGGAAUAUUGGACAAUGGGUGGAAGCCUGAUCCAGCCAUCCCGCGGGAGGGACGACGGCCCUAUGGGUUGUAAACCUCUUUUGUACGGGGAUAAACCUAUCUACGUGUAGAUAGCUGAAGGUACCGUACGAAUAAGCACCGGCUAACUCCGUG